GCCAGGUGUGGUGGUGUGUGCCUGUAGUCCCAGCUACUCGGGAGGCUGAGACAGGAGAAUUGCUUGAACCAAGGAGGUGGAGUGCAGUGAGCUGAGAUAGCGCCACUGCACUCCAGCCUGGGCAACAGAGCAAGAUUCAGUCUCAA
ensembl:misc_RNA Metazoa_SRP Metazoan signal recognition particle RNA